UUUGUUGAUGAUGAAAUGAUUGUCGCCCCAGUCUGAUUCACCUUGACUGAUUGACAUGUCAUUCUGAAACAUA